GGGUCCUCUUCUUACUAUUUUAUCCUAAAGGAAGGGCCAAGAGAUAUAAAAAUGUCAAACUCCAGGAGUUUCUACAUGUUCUCAUCAGUGUGGUGAGAGGUGAGCCAAGACUGAUGGCACAGUCCGCCUCAGGUCUGCAUUUAUGUAUAGAGCACAAAAUGGUAGAUGGAUUGAUGGAUAAGAUCAGAAUUCAUAAUAAUGGGAAAGAGAAAUGGAUUGAGAAUCAGAAAGCCUGGGCACUUUUAGCUGAGAAAAAAAGACAAUUGCCUACAUAGAAUCCAGAGUUUCAUCUUCCACUCAAUUCAGUAACUCAAAGGGAGUAAAAGCCAAGUGAUGGAAUAUACGUAAAGCUGGACACGGCCAAGAAUGAGCUUCGAUCUCCAGAUUAAUUCACUUAGUAGACUCUGAUUUUGUGUGGUUCCCCAAAAGGUUGGACUAGAGAAACUGAAAAAAUGAUGAGAAUUUCUGUAUAUUUCCAAGUGGUAAGAACCAGUACGAAGAUAGAACAGAAUAUAAACCUCAGAAUGAGAUUCUAGAAAAUUUAAGAAUUUGAUACACCCUAAGAAAAAUAAUAUAUAAAUAAUGUAUCUACAAAUGAAGUACCAUCCCAAAGGUUAUGCAAAUAUAUAUCCC
ensembl:lncRNA